UUGUUCCUACGGGGGGCAGCAGUGAGGAAUAUUGGUCAAUGGACGAGAGUCUGAACCAGCCACGUAGCGUGAAGGAUGACUGCCCUAUGGGUUGUAAACUUCUUUUAUAAAGGAAUAAAACGAGGCACGUGUGCCUUUUUGCAUGUACUUUACGAAUAAGGAUCGGCUAACUCCGUGCCAGCAGCCGCGGUAAUACGGAGGAUCCGAGCGUUAUCCGGAUUUAUUGGGUUUAAAGGGAGCGUAGAUGGGUUGUUAAGUCAGUUGUGAAAGUUUGCGGCUCAACCGUACAAUUGCACUUAAUACUG
rnacentral:rRNA from 1 species